rnacentral:rRNA from 1 species
AGAGUUUGAUCAUGGCUCAGAUUGAACGCUGGCGGCAUGCUUAAUACAUGCAAGUCGAACGGUAACAGGUCCUUCGGGAUGCUGACGAGUGGCGGACGGGUGAGUAAUGCAUAGGAAUCUGCCCAGUAGUAGGGGACAACCUGAGGAAACUCAGGCUAAUACCGUAUAAGUCCUACGGGAGAAAGGGGGCCUCUUCUUGAAAGCUCUCGCUAUUGGAUGAGCCUAUGUCGGAUUAGCUUGUUGGUGGGGUAACGGCCUACCAAGGCGACGAUCCGUAGCUGGUCUGAGAGGACGAUCAGCCACACUGGGACUGAGACACGGCCCAGACUCCUACGGGAGGCAGCAGUAGGGAAUAUUGGACAAUGGGCGAAAGCCUGAUCCAGCAAUGCCGCGUGUGUGAAGAAGGCCUGCGGGUUGUAAAGCACUUUCAGUUGGGAAGAAAAUCUUUAGGUUAAUAUCCUAAAGUCUUGACGUUACCAACAGAAGAAGCACCGGCUAACUCUGUGCCAGCAGCCGCGGUAAUACAGAGGGUGCGAGCGUUAAUCGGAAUUACUGGGCGUAAAGCGUGCGUAGGCGGUUAAGUCAGUCGGAUGUGAAAGCCCAAGGCUUAACCUUGGAACGGCAUUCGAUACUGCUUAGCUAGAGUAUAGUAGAGGGAAGC